UACGUAGGGUGGCUAGCGUUGUCCGGAUUUACUGGGCGUAAAGAGCGCGCAGGCGGUCGUUCAAGUCGAGUGUGAAAGCCCCCGGCUCAACUGGGGAGGGUCACUCGAUACUGAUCGACUCGAAGGCAGGAGAGGGAAGCGGAAUUCCCGGUGUAGUGGUGAAAUGCGUAGAUAUCGGGAGGAACACCAGUGGCGAAGGCGGCUUUCUGGCCUGCUCUUGACGCUGAGGCGCGAAAGCUAGGGUAGCAAACGGG
rnacentral:rRNA from 1 species